CCCAUUCUUAAUCCAUAGGGUUUAAUAUGACGUCGGCCCACCCUUUGCAGCUAUUACAGCUUCAACUCUUCUGGGAAGGCUUUCCACAAGGUUUAGGAGUGUGGAGUCCGGGUUUGGCGGUUGCCAGGAGAACGGUACUUGUCUAACUGCAUUGUGCCAACUGUGAAGUUUGGUGGAGGGGGGAUUAUGGUGUGGGGUUGUUUUUCAGGAGUUGGGCUUGGCCCAUUAGUUCCAGUGAAAGGAACUCUGAAUGCUUCAGCAUACCAAGAGAUUUUGGACAAUUCCAUGCUCCCAACUUUGUGGGAACAGUUUGGGGAUGGCCCCUUCCUGUUCCAACAUGACUGCGCACCAGUGCACAAAGCAAGGUCCAUAAAGACAUGGAUGAGCGAGUUUGGUGUGGAAGAACUUGACUGACCUGUACAGAGUCCUGACCUCAACCCGAUAGAGCACCUUUGGGAUGAAUUAGAGCGAAGACUGGGAGCCAGGCCUUCUCGUCCAACAUCAGUGUCUGACCUCACAAAUGCGCUUCUGGAAGAAUGGUCAAAAAUUCCCAUAAACACACUCCUAAACCUUGUGGAAAGCCUUCCCAGAAGAGUUGAAGCUGUUAUAGCUGCAAAGGGUGGGCCGACGUCAUAUUAAACCCUAUGGAUUAAGAAUGGGAUGUCACUUAAGUUCAUAUGCGUGUAAAGGCAGGACACGGAUGGCCUGGGGAAAGAAGCUCCUCAUUCUCUCUGUUUUGGCCAUCAGGGAGUGGAAGCGUUUCCCUGACCGCAACAAAGAGAAGAGUCCAUUGUUAGGAUGGCUGAGGUCUUGUGAUUUGUUUGUUUGUUGUUUUGGGGCAAUAUAGCCUAAAUUUGGAAAUUGCUUUUGGUUUUAUUUUAUUUUCUAUACAUUUUAUAAAAUAUAUUUUAUAAUAAACAGUAACACAUA